rnacentral:rRNA from 1 species
UCACUGGUCGAGUCGGCCUGCGCGGAAGAUGUAACGGGGCUAAACCAUGCACCGAAGCUGCGGCAGCGACACUGUGUGUUGUUGGGUAGGGGAGCGUUCUGUAAGCCUGUGAAGGUGUACUGUGAGGUAUGCUGGAGGUAUCAGAAGUGCGAAUGCUGACAUAAGUAACGAUAAAGCGGGUGAAAAGCCCGCUCGCCGGAA